CCUAAUCAAACCGGAUACGGGGAAUUGGGCCGGGUUGGUGGUAGGAACAAAGAUAGGAAAGAGACUGCGAAUAAAAAAAGAUUCAGAUGGAGCCUUCCUUCCUUCCUUCCUUCCUUCCUUCCUUUGGAUGCAAAAUUCCUAUCGCUCUCUCUGUCUCUCUUCGUUUGAUUACUUUGGGGAUAUAAAUUAUAUAUCGUGUGGAAGAGAGAAGAAGAGAAGAAACUGAGAGCGAAGAUGGACGCGCCGCCGAGCUUGCAGGAGAUGUCGUACUUCGAGCACGUCCAGAAGCGCAACGAGGACAAGGGCUGCCUCUACGCCUGCUUGUUCGCACUGUGCUGCUGCUUCUGCUGCUAUGAGACCUGCGAGUGCUGCCUAGACUGCCUCUGCUGCUGCUGCAGUUAACCAUGCAGAAAAGAAAGUGGAACAACAUAAUACCAGAAUGCCCUAUAUCUCUUUUGUAUUUGGAGUUUGAAGUAUUCUGUCUAAAAUAAAAUAUGUAGCUCUGAUGUGGACUACUUGCUUACAUUGUUUUUGCGUCUCUAAGAAUGCUGUGAACAACUAUGUUCCUUUGGAAUAUAUGCUAGAACCCGUAAUAUAUUAGUGUGUACUUUGCAUU